rnacentral:rRNA from 1 species
UUCGGUAGAUUGCUAGCGGCGGACGGGUGCGUAACACGUGGGUAACCUGCCCCUAUCACUGGGAUAACACACUGAAAAGUGUGCUAAUACCAGAUAAUAUAAGCUUUUGGCAUCAUUAGCUUAUCAAAGAAUUUCGGAUAGGGAUGGGCCCGCGUCUGAUUAGCUAGUUGGUGAGGUAACGGCUCACCAAGGCAACGAUCAGUAGCCGACCUGAGAGGGUGAUCGGCCACACUGGAACUGAGACACGGUCCAGACUCCUACGGGAGGCAGCAUUGGGGAAUAUUGCACAAUGGGCGAAAGCCUGAUGCAGCAACGCCGCGUGAGCGAUGAAGGCCUUCGGGUCGUAAAGCUCUGUCCUAUGGGAAGAUAAUGACGGUACCAUAGGAGGAAGCCCCGGCUAACUACGUGCCAGCAGCCGCGGUAAUACGUAGGGGGCAAGCGUUAUCCGGAAUUACUGGGCGUAAAGGGUGCGUAGGCGGUUUAUCAAGUCAGGGGUGAAAGGCUACGGCUCAACCGUAGUGAGCCUCUGAAACUGGUGAACUUGAGUGUAGGAGAGGAAAGUGGAAUUCCCAGUGUAGCGGUGAAAUG